UUAAUUUUAGACCAUUUUUCUAAAUCACAAGCAUUCAUAAUCCCCUUAUUUGAGGGAAGAUAAAAUAUAAGCUGAGACAACAAGUUUUUUGCGUUGGCAGAGAUAUUAAUGCACGUCAUUAUGGAACUUUUUUGGGAUUUUAUACCGAGGUCUUCAAAGUCUAUUGGUUUAGCACCGUGUUAUCAAUGUUAUUAUUAUCAACUUAUUAAAAGAUGCUAUGUUUACACUCUUAGAUUAGUGUUUAUUAUUUCAGUAGCAUUAUUAAAAAAAAAAAACAGCGACACAUUCAUCUGUCUCAAAGCCAACAUGUGAGGAAGCAGAAAAGAACUUUCCCAAAAGAUAAAGCAAUACAGGUUAAUAAAGGGAUAUAAAAUUGAUGUAGAAAUC